GACGUAGGGCGCGAGCGUUGUCCGGAUUUAUUGGGCGUAAAGAGCUCGUAGGCGGUUUGUCGCGUCUGCCGUGAAAGUCCGGGGCUCAACUCCGGAUCUGCGGUGGGUACGGGCAGACUAGAGUGAUGUAGGGGAGACUGGAAUUCCUGGGUGUAGCGGUGAAAUGCGCAGAUAUCAGGAGGAACACCAGUGGCGAAGGCGGUUGCCUGGAGCUUUGCUGACGCUGAUGCGCGAAAGCGUGGGGAGCGAUCCGA
rnacentral:rRNA from 1 species